AAGUCGUAACAAGGUAUCCGUAGGUGAACCUGCGGAUGGAUCAUUAGCAAAGGAAAUUGGGAGUGAUGUGAACGGUUUGGGCUUGUGCGGUCAGAGGUCCGCUCGUGGGCGGGCGCUGGCUGUGUUGACGUCUAGCAUAACUGAAGUCUACUUUGUAGUUUCAAAGAGAAACAACUUUUAGCAACGGAUCUCUUGGCUCUC
rnacentral:misc_RNA from 1 species